UACUCUCUCUCUCUCUCUCUCCAAAAACCCUUCUUUUCAAACUGAGUACACUCUUGAAUCUGUUAUGAUUUCAGCUCAAAAACAAAAAAAAUCAAAACAUCAUAUUUCUAAACCUUGAUAUUGUAAACAAAACCCAUAUACCAGAAAUCUAGAUCUAUAAACCCUAACAUUGAAAUUUUUGUAACCCUGGAGAAAAAAAGAAAUCCUGAAAUCGGGAACCCCAUUACCAGAAAUAUGAUAGUUAAUUGUGCUUCCGACAGUUUGUUUAUCAUCAGGUAAAGCUUGCACUGAGAUAGGGGAAUAAGAUUUAAGUUUGACUAGAAGACUUGCAUAGAUAUCCCAGGAGACCUUUGGAGAUUUCGAAGAAGCAGUUGAGAAAAAUGCAACGAAGAAUGCAGUUCUUGAUGGAACUGUCCAUCCUUUGACGAGUUAUGUAAUUAGAUGAGAAGCAAAUGAUUUGUUUGGGGAUGACUGGGAGCAAAUACACCGAAGGAUUGUCCAACAACAUGAAAAUCAAUAUUAGAAGGAUAUCACAGGCUGAAUCUAUCUGCGUAUUCCCUUCCUCUUUGGGUAAAUUCAUCAUAAAUGAAUCAUUGGUGAAGGUGUUUGCUUUUUGGAUUUCCUAGUUGCUUAAUAUAUGAAUUUCAAAUUAUUGUCUGUGAACAAGAAUUUAUUAUGCACAAUCUCAAGAUUUUUCCCUUUGGUUCAUUAAUGGAAAAGUUGACUUGUUCUAUAGAAAACAGAAGGGAGUUCACAGUAAAGCUUGUUUCUCUUAUUCGAGAUAUCAGAGGUGCAAUAGAGAUGCACAGGGAUUUAUAUGGAAGGAUGAAGAAUCAGCCAGAGUUCAUAAAAGGCCAUUUCUUAGGCAUUAAGCUGGCACACCUUGGGAAAGUGAUGAAGAACUGAAUUUACUUGUUCCAAGGGAGAGAAUACAAUUUAAUAUUAUACUGCCGCAUUUGUUCAAAAAUCUCUGAUAGACACAUUUUUGUGUCUAAUUUGAUCUCAAUACUACAUAUUGUUGGCACUCGAUUUUGUACUAAUUUUGUU